rnacentral:rRNA from 1 species
UGCAUAUCAAUAAGCGGAGGAAAAGAAACCAACAGGGAUUGCCUCAGUAACGGCGAGUGAAGCGGCAAAAGCUCAAAUUUGAAACCCUCGGGAUUGUAAUUUGAAGAUUUGGCAUUGGAGAAAGCUAACCCAAGUUGCUUGGAAUAGUACGUCAUAGAGGGUGACAACCCCGUCUGGCUAACCGUUCUCCAUGUAUUGCCUUAUCAAAGAGUCGAGUUGUUUGGGAAUGCAGCUCAAAGUGGGUGGUAAACUCCAUCUAAAGCUAAAUACUGGUGAGAGACCGAUAGCGAACAAGUACUGUGAAGGAAAGGUGAAAAGAACUUUGAAAAGAGAGUGAAAUAGUAUGUGAAAUUGUUGAUAGGGAAGGAAAUGAGUGGAGAGUGGCCGAGGUUUCAGCCGCCCCUCGUGGGCGGUGUACUGCCGACGCCGAGUCAUCGAUAGCGAGACGAGGGUUACAAAUGGGAGCGCCUUCGGGCGUUCUCCCCUAACCCUCCAC